rnacentral:rRNA from 1 species
UUAAAGGAAUUGACGGAAGGGCACCCCCAGGAGUGGAGCCUGCGGCUUAAUUUGACUCAACACGGGAAACUUAACCAGGCCCGGACACCAGAAGGAUUGACAGAUUAAGAGCUCUUUCUCGAUUUGGUGGGUGGUGGUGCAUGGCCGUUCUUAUUUGGUGGAGUGAUUUGUCUGGUUAAUUCCGGUAACGAACGAGACUCUGGCCUACUAACUAGUCGACGGGGUGGUUCAUGUGCAGGCCCCGUUCGACAAUGUCUUCUUAGAGGGAUGAGCAGCGAGUAUAGCUGCAGGAGAUUGAGCAAUAACAGGUCUGUGAUGCCCUUAGAUGUCCUGGGCCGCACGCGCGCUACACUGAAUGGGUUAGCGGGUUUGCCUUCUCCGAGAGGAGCGGGAAAUCGCUUGAAAACCAUUGGUGCUAGGGAUUGGGGCUUGCAAUUGUUUCCCAUGAACGAGGAAUUCCCAGUAAGCGCAAGUCAUCAGCUUGCGUUGAUUAAGUCCCUGCCCUUUGUACACACCGCCCGUCGCUACUACCGAUUGAAUGAUUUAGUGAGGCCUUCGGACUGGCGGUCCCGGAAUGAGCUCCGCUCGCCACUACCCCUUCACCGGGGGGCGUUGUUGGACUCUCCUCGACGAGCCGGAAAGAUGUCCAAACUUGAUCAUUUAGAGGAAGUAAAAGUCGUAACAAGGUUUCC